GCGCGUGACGUCAUCGCGCAUCCCCGCAACGUCGCCACGUCCGUCCCGAGUAGGAAGGCAGUCUUGGACGAGCCGGCCUUACGAAAGGGCUCGGUAUUCUCCAGAGGAAACGGGGGGAGAGAAGCCACUGGAGGGAGGGGAGACGAGAAGGACCUAGCAGGAUGGGAAGCUGGCGGGAGGAAGGCCAUCUGUGGUUACCUGGGGAGCAUGAGCAGCUUCGGGUCCUUUAUGAAGUGCCCGGAUGAAGCUCCAGCACCCACGCGCCUUCCGUACUGAGCGCAACGCCAUCUUGAAGGGGGCGGAGCCGCGCUGACUUGAGUGACGUCUGCCCGGAGAGCCGGUCCCGGAACGGCGGCUGCUGCGCCUGCUGCGGAAGUGCGGCUGCCUCCCGGGCGCGCCUCUGUGCCGGUGCGUGCGUGCGGGAGUCGGGCCUUUGCAGAGCAGGCUUUUUUUUUUCUUUUUCAAACUGCUGUUUCAACAUCAGAGUACAAGUCUUCAAAGAAGACAGAGAAUUGCUCCCAUAAGUAUGGAUCCAGAAUGGGGAAAAUAAUUUUCUAGAAAUGUAGGAGACUACUUUCAGUAUUCCUUUUCCCCAUGGUUCACCCUCAGUCUUAGGACAUAUGUUCCAUGGAAGAAAUGAAGCUUUGAAAUUAGCAAAUUAAAGUUUUGGAAGAGAUUUUACUUUGUUGUCUCUCUUUGCAUGCUGUAUCUGUUCUAGAAGGUAUGGUCCUGAAGACAAAAUCUAUGUGUUACCUGUACACUUACUCUAUUUUUAAAUCACCACCCUUUGCUCCCAGCUGCUUCAUAAUGGGUGAGCAGGCUUCCCAAUUCUGAGUUUACGUUUUACAAAAAGAACUAGGUCUCAACAAAGUUUCUUGGAGUGUCUUUUAGAUAGGCUCUUUUCUGUUUUGUCUGUGUAAUCAAACUCCAUUAGAUCCCUUCCCACAUUCUGUCCCUGUGGUGUGAUGCUAGGAAUAACUGAAAGUGAGACACCAUGUUUAGAUCUUGAUCUUUCUAACAAACAACAUGAAAAGGUAUCUUGAUGUGUCUAAAACAAGAGAGAGCAUUAACCUCAGUGUCUCAGUCAAGUCCCAUCUUAACCAGUUAGAUUCUGUUGGACUUUUCCAAAACCCACAGACAAGUUACAAUCAGCUGUAAUUUUCUUCACUUUUUGUCCUUAAUAAGUAGGAGUGAGCAUGAACUCAGAGAAGAUUUGCAUGCAGCCCCGUUACUGAUCUCAGUGAACCAUUUAACCUUCAUGUGCCUCUUUUUUUCCAUAUCUGUAAACUGAGUAAAAAUAGAAGGAAUACAAAGAAAAUGAAAACACCAUUUCAAAAA